AUAAACGUGGGUGUAAUGUUCUAGAAGUGAACGCAAAUUAAUUUUAUUAACGCAGUGUUACAUCAUGUUGUGGGUAAAUUUUGAGGUUGUAUUGAUAGUCGACGUGUUUUUCAACAAUGCCAACAUUGCAAUGUGAAAAAGGAAAGUUAUAUUCAAUUUUGAUGGGUUAAUAAAGGAUAGCAAAGAAAUGGUUAUCCAACUUGACUCGGUUACCAUGGUGAUUAAGUUCCA